UGGUGCGAUCAUACCAGCACUAAUGCACCGGGAACUCCGAAGUUAAGCGUGCUGGUGCGAGAGUAGUACUAGGAUGGGUGACCUCCUGGGAAGACCUCGUGUUUUAAUAU
rfam:Arabis alpina cultivar Pajares chromosome 7, whole genome shotgun sequence.